UCAAAAUCAACAGCCAAAUACAAAUGGAUUCUUCCAAGGUCAUCAGGGUUUCCAGACAAGGCAGAAUGAAACAAACUUUUUGGGAGUGGAUGCAGAACCUGAUCGCCGUAAUCUAACAGCAAAGGGGUUUUCCGCAGUUGGUGCACCUCCGGGCACACAAAGGGUUUUUCUGCAUUUGAUGCGCAUCAGGGAAACGGCCCUGAAAUUCACAAAAGAAAUCCAGUAACGAUGGACUCUACUGAAUCUCCUGUUAAUUUCAAUUUUUUUGGGGCUCAGCACCAAAUGAACUCCCAAC
rnacentral:lncRNA from 1 species